GUCGUCGUCUGUGCGCUUGCUGGCUGCGAGCGUAUUCGCGAGCAUGCCUGGCCGAUCAGAGCGGCGUGGCACUCACGCUUCCAGCACCAUUUACUGGGCGUACCUCCGCGCGUACGAUGAACGACGCAUUUAGCCGCCUCACUUUCAUCCCCGUAUUACUUGCAGCGGUGUCUUCGGCGUUAGCAGCCUGUGAUGCAGAGAAGGCUGUCACUGGACUCCAAGAUUGCAGGAGCCAUAUCCACCAGAUACAGAAACACAGAUUUAAUGCUUCCGACGUCGCCCACAUAGAAGAAGUAUGCUGAUCGGGUGUCUUUAUCGGCGUGGUCGUCUUCACUGAUAUUGCUGUGUCCCACAAGCCAUCGAAGAAGUAUAUCAUGCCCUUUGUCAUGGCUGCGGUGGCAGGCCUGUCGAAUUUCCGAGCGCCACGGUCAAGUUUGAAGACUGCAUCCGCGAAGCUGUGCAUCUUUCAGGAUGCCACCACGAAGUUGACUACCUUGUGACCGUGAUGAUGACUGCAACGCGAAAGCUUCUGAGCGACAUGUACACCGCCAACUGCUGGUACCUCUGCAGCCAAGCCGAUGCUAUCUCUGCCAGUGCAACCUUCGCUCCCGCCGGACUUGUGGCAGUGGCACUUGUGGUGUUGUGGAGGACGUGAAGUCAAUCCCACUGGUUGCUCGAGAGUGCCAGGAUGUCAUCCAAGCGUACUCCCAAGCUGUCCUGUGGUCUUUCGUGUCGCUUUAGUGACCGGCAAAAAACGUUUCGUUGAUUUGGUGUGUAGUUGCGCAGCAUCACAGCAACGCCCCCUCAUGUUUGAAGCAGGGUUUUGCAGCAGCGGACCAUUUCACCAAUGUGACUGCCUAGCACUCGCAUGAUGAUACGGAGGCAACUUUCACGUUGACGUGCUUCUUUUCAGUUUUUUUCUUUUUUUUUGCAACCAAAAGAUCGCGUUCGAGAUUUUACCAGAUUACCUUCGUGCUGCCAAUUUUCUUUUAUAUGGUCAAGCAAGUCAUGUAGCCGGUUAGCUCCGUGUGUAUCAAGCUCGCUAAUUUUUAUGUAUCAAACUUUCGUCCACGGCACUGCUUCGCAUUAUAUAAAUCAAUGAGAAACUGCAUGACAUAGUCUAACUGGUGAGACGUAAGUACAUAGGGGCAGUCUAGAGAAAGAAGUGUACAGACCCCUUCCGAAAGCCUCGGUAGGAUCAGGCGUACAGAUGGGGCCAACAGGAUACAGUAGUUAAUCUCGCCGACCGGGGUUGCGUAUGAGCAUAAGCGUGCUCAGUGUAGCCCUUCGAAGGGGGAGAGGGGAGGGUUAUUGCAGCACCACCACUUCAUUAAUUUCAUGUAUGGGGCACGCUCACCUCCCCUCGUAGGUGUCUAUGGGGGCGCCGCCUCUGCCUACCUCCUGCGCGCGCCUAUCCGUCUGAGCAUAGGCGCGCGCAGAGUCGGGCAAGGGUGAGAGGGGGGGGGGGGGAGCGGAGAGUGAAGAGGGUGAGCCCUCUUCACUCUCCGCCCUCCUUCCCCCAAUUUAUUGAAGCACGCUUGCGCGACUGCUGGCUUCAGUUUUAAAGGAACACUAAAAACAAUGGCUUGGUUCAGAUUGAUAAACUGUACCCUGAGAACUGUAAGGUCUUAAGUUUCACCAUAAGUUCGUUAUUAGAGGAUAAAAUCAAGGUUGAAGUUUCAUUUUAAAAUUUCGCGCCUUAUCUCCGCACGCGACGUCACGAACUUCAAUGUGUAUAUUUUGUAUUUUUAUGACAUUCGCUACAUGAAAUUUUCUGAAACUUCGUACGUUAGGCCUAGGGCCCCUACAGAUGACAAUUUACUUCAUUUUUAUUAAGAACGACGUGGGACCGAGUAAAUCUAUGGCACGGCGUUUGGUGCGAGAAUUUCCAGGAGACGCCUCCGUCCACAUUUUUUUUUUUCGCGCGUUCUCUCGUGUACCAAGCGUCGUCUCGCGGGCGUUUUCGGGAUUGUGAUAUUGUAACUUCACUAAUACGCAAAAAAAAAAACGCUCUUUUCUUUAGUGUUCCAUCAAAUUAAAGCUGGCACUCCAGGUCCACAAGGAAGAUUACCCAAAACAGAACGACUGACAUUAAUGAGGGUGUUAGCCAUUUGUCUUUCGUUUGUUCGGAGCCGCACGAUGUGGGUCAAUCGUCAGUGAGUUUCAGAAUAGAGUUUUAGAACAGCACAACGGAAAGGUUUUCCUUGCGCAUGCAUCGUACGCUAACCUCUUGCAGGCUCCCGUUAAGCAAUGAACGCUAAGCUACGCCCGCAAGCUUAACAAUGUAAUGGCGUACGCGCCAGCAAGUUGUUAUUCCAGAUGACGAUGUGUCGGGGGAGAAGGAAAUAGCAUGUGAGCAGCACGUCUGCUCUUCACAAUGAGUCAGUAUAUAACAUGACACGCGUUACUGCUGAAGAUGCGUCAGCAUUCUGUUACCGUGAACUGUGCUAUUUCAAGGACGGUAUACGCUUACCUACCCGUUGUUCGGGCAGGGAUCGGUCAAUUAACUAGGUCGCGUGUACACCUUCAAUGUAAGCACAUGCACUAGGCUUCAUGUCAGAUGAUAUAGUGCAAUCGCGAAGAGAGUGAGGUGUACUCACGUACGACCUUUCCACUUGGGUAAAGACUUAGCCCUCAGGGAAACGUCAUACGUGGUACUCCUACGAUGUGCUGUUUAAACACAUUAUCACACUGAACGACAACAAUUUCUUGUAGAAAAUAUGAAAAAAUUUUCAUUAUAUCUCC
rnacentral:misc_RNA from 1 species